rnacentral:rRNA from 1 species
CCUACGGGAGGCAGCAGUGGGGAAUAUUGGACAAUGGACGAAAGUCUGAUCCAGCAAUGCCGCGUGAGUGAUGAAGGCCUUAGGGUUGUAAAGCUCUUUUACCAGGGAUGAUAAUGACAGUACCUGGAGAAUAAGCUCCGGCUAACUCCGUGCCAGCAGCCGCGGUAAUACGGAGGGAGCUAGCGUUGUUCGGAAUUACUGGGCGUAAAGCGCACGUAGGCGGUUAUUCAAGUCAGAGGUGAAAGCCCGGGGCUCAACCCCGGAACUGCCUUUGAAACUAGAUAGCUAGAAUCCUGGAGAGGUGAGUGGAAUUCCGAGUGUAGAGGUGAAAUUCGUAGAUAUUCGGAAGAACACCAGUGGCGAAGGCGGCUCACUGGACAGGUAUUGACGCUGAGGUGCGAAAGCUGGGGAGCAAACAGGAUUAGAUACCCUGGUAGUCCACGCCGUAAACGAUGAUAACUAGCUGUCCGGGANACAUGGUNCUUGGGUGCGCNNUACACAUAUAUCNCGNGGNGAGUGCGAGAGUAAAGUUAAAGUAAGUAGAGNGNGAGAGUUGCGAGCGCGACGAGGAGAGG